rnacentral:rRNA from 1 species
AUGGAGUGGUUAAGGAUGACUGAGAAGUUUUUCUCCAUGGUGUAUGUGCCUGAAGAAGCAAAGUGGGACUAUGCCCAAAUGUAUCUAACAGGUAGAACCGACACUUGGCUUAGAAACUCUGGCAUCUUACUGGAGAACUUAACUUGAGAGCAAUUUUGCUCUGCCGUCCUUAAAAGGUUCUCUGAGGAUAGUUCUUAUGAGGUGGUGGAAAUUUUCAAUUCAUUCAAGCAGGGAACUGAGAAAGUGGCUGCUUACAAGAAGGAAAAUCCCGGAGCGCCUGAAAGUUACUAUGUCAAGUGCUACAUCAAUGGGUUAAGGCCAGAGAUCAAACACUAUCUGAAGCCUUUCAAACCAACAACUCUCUAUGAUGCUGUGGACAAUGCCAGGGACAUGGAACUAGGAGUUCAGGCUCAAACACGGCAUAGGAGAUACAGUACAAACAGUGGCUAUCAGAAAAGCACCUCCCCUAUCCCAUUUCCCACCAAAUUCAAACAACCAGAGACAAUUCCAAAGAAAGAGGGCGAGACAAGAAACAACAACAGACCAGAAAAUAAAUACAGAGAGCCUGGCACAUGCAGGUACUGUGGAGGCAAAUGGUUUUUUGGGCACAAAUGUGCGCAAUACAAGACCCUAAACUUAAUGGCAACUAAAGAGAGCAACGACACCACCCCUGAUGAAACACUCCAAAGUAGUGACUCUGCUGAGGAAACUGAAAUCCAUGCCACCUCCCCCACUGAAGAGGAGCAAUGCACACAAAUUUCUCUACAAGCUCUGGGAAAGAAACCUGUUGCUUCUACAUUUUCUCUCUAA